CCUACGGGGGGCUGCAGUGAGGAAUCUUCCACAAUGGGCGAAAGCCUGAUGGAGCGACACCGCGUGAAGGAUGAAGCCCUAUUCGGGUGUAAACUUCUGUUCUGAGGGACGAAAUUUUUGACGGUACCUCAGAAGAAAGCACCGGCUAAUUCUGUGCCAGCAGCCGCGGUAAGACAGAAGGUGCAAGCGUUACUCGGAAUUACUGGGCGUAAAGCGUCCGCAGGUUUCUCUGCACGUCUGGUGUUAAAACACGAAGCUCAACUUCGUGUCCGUGCCGGAUACGACAGGGAUAGAGUCAUUCAGAGGCAUCUGGAAUGCCGUGUGUAGGGGUAAAAUCCGUUGAUCCACGGUAGAACGCCAAAAGCGAAGGCAGGAUGCUGGGAAUGUACUGACACUCAUGGACGAAAGCGUGGGGAGCAAACGGGAUUAGAUACCCCAGU
rnacentral:rRNA from 1 species